rnacentral:misc_RNA from 1 species
AAACACCUCAAGUCCGCUCUUCUUUUUGAAGACGGAUUUGGACUUGAGCGAUCCCAACAGGAGGGGCUUUCCCUUCUGGCGGGUUGCUUGAAAUGCAGGUGCAGCUGGAUUUUCAUCUGGGCUAUAAGCAUAUUUAUUUAGUCCCGUUAAACGGAUUAUUACUUUUUGCUGCAGCCAACGUAAAGGUUGAUUGUCCUCUUGCUGACUGAUGCAGGAAUUUUCGGGGGAUCGGCAACGAUUACCCGUUAA